GGAUGCCCUCCGUCGUCAUUCCUUAUAACCAGUUACCCGCCUUGGGACUAGGUCGGUAGGGCGCACACGCUACUUCCGGAAGCCCAACAUUUCGUGAAAACCGUCCCUUCUUUGCCGCGAGGAAUUAUCCCCCGCAGUGACUGCCAUGGACGUCUUAUUCGUGGCCGAUUGAUGCACGGUCGUCGGCGCCAUUA
rnacentral:rRNA from 1 species